AUUGAACGCUGGCGGCAGGCCUAACACAUGCAAGUCGAAGGGCAACAGGAAACAGCUUGCUGUUUAGCGGACGCGUGUCGGACGGGUGAGAAAUGUCCGGGAAACUGCCUGAUGUCGGGGGAGAACUAGUGGAAACGGUAGCUAAUACAGCAUAACGUCGCAAGACCAAAGAGGGGGAACUUCGGGCCUCUUGCCAUCAGAUGUGCCCAGAUGGGAUUAGCUAGUAGGUGGGGUAACGGCUCACCUAGGCGACGAACCCUAGCUGGUCUGAGAGGAUGACCAGCCACACUGGAACUGAGACACGGUCCAGACUCCUACGGGAGGCAGCAGUGGGGAAUAUUGCACAAUGGGCGCAAGCCUGAUGCAGCCAUGCCGCGUGUAUGAAGAAGGCCUUCGGGUUGUAAAGUACUUUCAGCGGGGAGGAAGGGAGUAAAGUUAAUACCUUUGCUCAUUGACGUUACCCGCAGAAGAAGCACCGGCUAACUCCGUG
rnacentral:rRNA from 1 species